GGUUAGAUAAGCCUAUGAAUUCCUGGAAUAUGUUUAUACUGUAUGUGGUUUAUUUAGUUUCGCAAUAUAUACACUAUGCAAUAUAUGCAAAAUUCAAGUCACAAUAUUAUUUCUAAAUACCCAAGUUUAGAUCGUUUGGAGUGCCAAAUUAUAUUUCCAUAUUUCCCUCCUGCCUUUUUUUACAUGCCACGAGCAAAUCUGAAUUUCACUCAGCCUCGAAGAGAAAAGAGAGAGAAAUCAAGGGUGCACCAUAAAUGCACAGAGAUGGAGUGCAGAAGAAUGUUAUAGGAGGGGGCUUUGGUGAAAGGAUUCAAGGAUUUAACAAUCCCACAUCCUCUCAGCCUGUCCUUCAUCUCUAAUAAUCAAGCUUGGCCACAGAAUACCCCUCUGGAUGGGAAAAAAACAUGUUGCCUGUCCGCCUCUCACUCAUCUUUAGACUGCCAGUCUUGGGUCUUCCUCUUGAAGUCUUCUGUCACAUUUAUGGCUUCAAACACAAAGCACAGCCUUUUUUAACCGACUGCCAUGUCUUUAAAGCUGGGUAUCUUUUUUUUUUUUUGGUACUACAUUAGCAUGAGAUGAAGAGCAGGGUGCCUCGUGCAAAGGAAGCCCUGAGAAGGCUGGACCACAGACACUGUGAACCUGUUUGUUGAUCAACACCAAAGGGCACCGAAACAAGCUAAGCACUUUGAGUUCAGACUCACAGCUGAUCCAUCUCCCGGUGCUCCACCGUGGCAGAGGGGGUUAAAGGACCCCGAAUGCACGGGACCAUAUUGCAGCGCCUCCCAGCACUCCUCCAUGUUCUCCUCCAUCUGCCUCCUGUCCAUUGAUCAGCCUUCCAGGGCAUCAGUCUGUUUAACAUCUGCUACAAGUUGCAGCAGCUCAGAUAAAAGCACAACGCCUCCCGAGCAGCUCUCCAGAUGUGCGAGGAGCAUUCAGAUGCUUCCUGAAGUCAAAGGUUCUACACAGAAAAUGUGCAUCAGGUAGAAGGACUGGAGCAGGUACUUGGAGACCAGUACAAGUAAAGUACUCGAGUAACGGUACUGCGCUACUCUCCACCCCCCCCUCCGACACUAAAUCCCACCCUCAGCAGGUUGUGAUCCCUGUCACUUCGUGCCGUCCACCAUUUUCUUGGGAGAACCGCCUUCGUGACACGCUUCCUGCCGCCGCCACACCUGACUGAUCCUCCCCUCGCUCUGCGCGGAUGAUAUCACACGGCGACAAGACUCCCAAAAGGCUUUUCCCGUACAGCGGAACGCGUCACGUGACCGUGUCGCCCGGCUAGACCCAAAUAUUGUGCAUUGUUGGUAAGGAGAGGUCAGGCAACUUGUGCGUGUGGUAUUUCAGGCGGUGCUCUCUAAUUAAGUAUUCAUGAAGCAGCAGUGGGAGCAGAGUGUAGGUUUACGCGGCGGCGGCGGCGGCGGUUCCGACAGCGUCUUCCUCCCCCUCUGUGCGGAACGCUCGGCUUUCCCCCGCAGGCAGACAGGCCAUCACUCCUAGUGUACUUCCAGCAAUGAUAUCAAAAAGGUUUUUUGGUCAAGCCAAAGAGAGGUCACUCUAAUAAUACCCAAGGUCAGUGGUGGGAGCCAGCAAGUCUCCCAGUCAUUAUUCAUUUGUUCGCCGAGUUAAUGACAGGGGGACGAGAACUUGGAGCCAACAGCCAUGUGAUGUCACCAACACAUGCCAAGGGAUUAGGAGGGCAGGCAGGGGACAAGAAGUGUGGAUUAUACCAGGAGGAAAAAGCAACAACCUAUAAUGUUCCAUCACCCAGUGUUAUGACAUGGUUGAUGCAGCAGUACAUUGAAAGCAGAGAAGUCUGUGUUGGAAUAGUUAUAGUAAUAGUGGAAUAGUUUUUAUUUAUUCCUCGGAUAUUUAACAUGUUUAAUGGCCUCGGUUUGACGAUGGAACAGGUUUUUUUUUUCGACCAAACCCCCAUCAUUCAUUCGCAGCCUUUUUGGUAAAUGACAAAAUAUUGUGGGUGUUUUCACGGCGGGAGGUGAUUCCACGACCGCAGCUUCUGUAAUUUACUUCCCCUUUGCGGCGUUUCGUGGCCGCCGCAUUAUGAGCGAUGUUGUAGUUAAGCACAGUAACGACGCUGGUGGAGGGAGAGGAGGAAAAAAAAAAAAAAAAAAAAAAAGCAAAGCUGGAGCCUGUGGCUUUCACGCAGAGAGAAUGAACAAUGAACACACCUUAUUCAGUCAUUGGGCAGGCAGCGCACAGCGAACAAUGAACCCCUCCCUGCCGUCUAGCACCAUGUCUGAUAAUGACCACAUCCUCCACCACUGAUAACGCUCCUCUUUUAUGACCUACAUGUGCAUAAAUAGGACUCAGAUAAAACAUUCAGGGAGGAUAUUGGAAAAUUUGGUCAGAUGUGCAUGUGUGGCAGCAGAAUUAUGUAUUUCCCCGCUUCAGUAACAUGCUAUGGAAAAGCCAUAUGUUGCACAUGUAGCGGCUGGUGAUCCAUGAAGUGAAACAAUGUGGCUUUGCUUCCUGCAGCUAAACUGCCCCAUAUGCUGUCGUGUCUAUUGUAGCAUUUAGUUCAACUCUCUGUUGCGGACAUCGUUCUCCUCUGUUGCCUUCCUGCAGGUGAAUCUGCUGGAUAACAUUUAACAGCGUGCGUUCGGACACGCAGGAAGCCGCCGCCGCCGCCGCCGCCGCCUCGGCAGCCGGCGUGCACAUACAGCAGAUUCCCUGUGUGCGCAUUAGGUCAGGGUAUAAAUAUGAACUGCGAUUUGCAUUACUUUCAGAUGAGUGAAGCUGUCAGGCCAAUAACACGAGCUUUCAGUCCUACUUUCUGCCACUUAUCCCCCAUUCUAGGACCAAGGGGUCAUGUGAAAAUUGAAAGUGACAGUCAAACCAGCAUGUUGAACAGCCUGAUUGGACUAAGCUGUCAUGGCCCAGAUCAGAGCUCUUUAACACCAGGCCUAUCAGAGGUCUUUCUGUCGGAGCCACUGGAUCCCGGGGAGGGACGUGUAAUAAGAAAGACACGGCGUUGACGGCGAAAGGAGAAGAACGGGAGGCGCACAAUCAAACAGCCGCACUGAUGACGCAGGAGCAGGCGCCGUGUGAUGAGCUUUAAAAGAUUCCUACGUGUAAUUGACAAGAAAGACAAAGUUUGAGAUAGUUGUCUGAAAAACUUGAACGCUAUUAACAACCAAAAACAAAAACUUGAGAGUUCACAGGGUUCUUUUUUCUCUCAGCUUCUCAUUUCCAGUUUCCGUUGAGUGAAGUCCAGUGGUUUUUCCCUUUGUGGUCUUUUGAAUCAGAAUGUUUGUUUUACCUGUUUUGCAGAUGGUUUAAUGAGCACAUGACGCUGUCACAUGAAAGAAUUUUUACUUCCUCCAAAGCAUUCUCUGUCAAUUUAUAUUUUGUUUCAUAUGCAGCUUUGCAUGACGCUCAGUCCAGUGUUCAACGCGCCGCCAUCCGUUCAGAUCAUAAUAAAUCCCGUCACCAUCACUUUUCCUUGGGUCCAUCUUUGGAAACGAAGGGGGAAUGGAAUAUUUUCUGUCAGGUGGGAGAAUAACUUAUGAUCCUUUUAUGUCCUGCUGAGAACCCCUUGAAAAUAAUAAUACGCCACAGCAGAAGCUCGUGAACAACCGAAAGGCACCAAGUGUUAUAAAUCUGAUGGGAUUUGCAUAUUUUGCCUCCCUAGCAGCAAGCAGGCAGAAGGAAUUACAUGGAAUAUGAAAAAAGUGGCUACAAGUCACACUCGGAAGCGGAGGCUGGAUGGAAAAACGAGGAUUUAAAGCUAAAGACUUUUUGAAGACUUUUAUUUUUUUUAAAAAGACUCAGCGUCAGGAUUAUUAAUCAAAUAAUGAGUCAUAAUGUGCUUGUUUGACCUUUGUCACAUUUCUUCUCCCUUGUUUCAUCUUUAAACAGGUUUACUUUUUUCCCCAUCAUUAAAAAUUAAAAACACUAAAAAUGAAGCUGUCAACUAUAGUUAGUCUUAUGUCGGGAGAACGUCGGUGAACUCCGGGAAUUAAAAACAAACUUAAAUUUGGGAGUGACGUGUAAGUUUGACGUGAAAGCUGUCAAAAGGUUUACACGACUGGAAUCAUGUCAAAUCUUCUUAAACUGAAAGUUUUCUUAAAAAGUGCAAAGUUGCAAAGGUUUUAAGAAAGAGAGAGAAAAAAGAAGCCUUUAGAUGCAGAACUCCAGACUUGAAGGAGGAUUCACUGUGUUGGUGUCCGUCCUGUGCUGUGAUUGGUCGAAACAGCUCGACCUCAACACUUGGCAAAAUUGACUACAACUGCCUACUGGGCUUUGCUUUGCUGCAGACUCCUCUGUGUUAUUGUACGUGCAGAGUGUGUGUGUGUGUGUGUGUGUGUGUGUGUGUGUGUGUGUGUGUGUGUGUGUGUGUGUGUGUUUGUGUGUUUGUGUGUGUGUGUGUGUGUGUGUGUGUGAGGAAGUAAUUGUCUUAUGGGAAAGGAAACAUUUAUGAUGUUAUGUUUAUAUGUUUUAUAUUGUAUCUUAAUUAGCAGGAGACGACUCCCUAGCUUUAACUAAUGUGGUCUUUAAAUUAAAUUGAGGAUAUUAGAUUUUAUUGGCUUCAGUUAAGAAUCCACAUUGCCAGACGCUGCUGUGCCUCCACUGUUUCCUGCAGAUAUCAUAAAACAACAAGUCACUCUGUGCUUGGUGACGACUUGCUCUUCUUUUUCCCUCUGUUGCCCAGUUUCACAACGGUUUGUCUGUGUAAAUGCAGCUUCAGGGUGUGUUGAAUCAUGUGAAGGACAUCAGAGAGGUGUAUUGUUUGAUAAUUCCACUAACACAAAGAAUUAGCCAGUGAUCACAACACAACAUCAAGCUCCACAACCAAAGGUUCUGUUUUUACCCAGGAACCAGAAAGGGAUCAAAAGUGGAUCCACCGUGAAAAUCCCUGACAAAAUGCAAAUUAAUGAAGUGGAAAAACACUUUCAAUUAAUUUCUUAUUUAGGUUUUCUUAUGCCUAAACUUUGCCAAAAUUAUUCACAAGAAAAAAACGAGGUUCCACAUUUUCACUAUAAACGUUUUCCAGCAGCAACCAACUGAAUCCAUGAGCGAGUCAUGAAACACUUCAGAGUUGUUUUUCCUUCACUCCUCCUUUCUGUCGACACACACAUCAAAUUAGAGGCGAGCGCGGAGCAGGUUUUGUACAUUACAUUUGCUCACACAUGCAGACAUUAGAGGCACUGUUGCUUUAAUUGUGUGAUACAUGUUUUAAUGUAAGAACAAAAAACUUGGGCUCUCCCCCUUCCUCUGAAGGAUCAGGUAAAAGGCUCGUCUCCUGCCUUCCAAAAAGCACUCGUCCAUUCCAACAUCACAAUUCUCCAACCCAUGUUCUCCUUUUUUUUCUGAUUCCACUGAUCUGAGCUUGAAAUGCGAAGACAGCAAAGCACUAAGCCUUCAAACGUGUGAUUUUUUCCAAAGAUCUCUAGAAGCAAUCUCUGCCUGACUGACCCUUGACAGCUGCAGAUCUCUUUAUUUCUCUGUCUGCUGGCACUUCAUUUGGUAGAAAAGCUCUCAGAUUCACACCUCUGUCAGACAGCACAAGUGUUUAUUAUGUGCAUACACAGAAUAUCCCAUAUAGUGUACAUCUCAAAGGCAAUGCAGGCUGCAGACUUUUAAUAAACAACCUGGAAAUUCUGGACCCUGGAAAUGAAUCAUAGUAACAGUAAUUUAUCUUGAUUUUGAUCAUAUUUAUUGCAAAAGACAGAAAGAGAAAGAAAGAAAAAGUAGAGCUUGAAUUUAGGAAUACAUUCUCACGUUGUUAGAUCAUCACCGUCCACACCACAACAGAAUUACCUGAACAAUAGCGUGUGCUCUAAUGUGCAGUUUAUCUUGGUUUUAUUGUGGCAGUUUUUCCACCGUCAGACGGAGAGCAGGGUUUCGCUGGUGACUCCCUCUCUGGAAAUGAGACUGCAGGCUCUAUCAUUAGAUCGGAUGGCAAGUCUUUAUGCAAAGUGUUUUGCAUAAUUACAUACCAAAGCCAGAAUAGCCACCCUCAAAUUUUAUGGGUCACAAAGCAUCAACAAUUGCCGCAUUAUUGUCCACCAAAGUCCAGCCCCACCAAUGACAAGAAACGAAAAAAAAAGAAGAGGCGGACGAGAGGAGCAGCUCGUCUGCCUAAUCUAAGCUUGGGAGAUUGCAUUUUCAUUCCAAUAAAACGUAAAGAAGAUUAUUCCCAAACUGACAACUUGUUUACAUAUAGUUGUAAAAGUUCAGAGGACUGGCCAAGACUUCACGGAAGCUUUAUCACAACAUGUGAACAUCAUGAAAUGGCUCCAGUUAAGUCCCUGAUAUUAGCCUUCUUCUGGGCGGGAUUUAUAAUGAGAAAUAGGCAACUUUUAUUAAAAUGCGAUGUAAAUUCGUCCAAGACGUUCAUCACGCGAUUUUAUCGAUGUGAUCGCAUUUAAAAAUAUUCAUACACAGGGAAAUACUCACAGUAGCACCGAAGGCUAAUACGAUACGUGUAUAAAGUAUGUUACAGUAUUUUCUUUAAUGAGAAAAUAAUGAUUCAAGACAGAGAGACUGAGGCUGCUUGACUUCACAUGGAUCCAUUGUCCAGUUUAGAAGCUGGAUGGUCUUUAGAGAUUUAGAGCUAGAAUACAAAAAAAAAAUUUGGAGUAACAGUAAAUUAGUAAUCAGCUAAAAUAUUGAACCCAUUUAUUUAUUGCAUCGCAACGUCUGAAUUUUACAGAGGAGAGAAAUCUACAAUAUACGCGAAUAAUGCAGGAGAAAUACACCGGGAUUGCCUCAUUUUAUUUUUAACAAUCCGGGAGAUAAAUGUGAUCGUGGAGCAGAAUUAAUAUAAACGUCAUUGAUUUUAUAGUUUGUGUUAUCAAGCUAUUAUCUGUCGUGAACAGGCCGCUGCCUUCCUCACCUCCGGCAGACAGAAAUAAGACUGUUAGGAAAUACGAUACAAAAUAAAAUAACAACGCAAAUGAAUAAAUGGAAUCAGACGACAGCAAAACGUGUUUUCGAUUCUAUAAGGAUUAAUAAAAAUAUAUAUAUGACGGAACCGCCUCAGUUGAGGGAGAGUCUGGGAUUUUUCGAUGGUCCUCUUUUGAUGUACUCGAUUGUCUUUAAAAAAAACAAGCACACACUUUUAUUUGAAGUGUAAUACGAAUCAUUAAUAGAUGAAACACGGCCUUGUGUAACAGACCAGGCUGCUAUCACCAAAUAUUUGCCAAGGGCAUCUGAUUCUUUUAAAAAAAAAUCGAAAUAUCACCGACAAUGACAGCUGUGGAGGUUGCAUUCAUGAGGUCUCACAACACAUAGAGCAUAAAUUAUCCUCAUUGUUCUGCGUCGAACAUGAUGUUUGUUGUCUCUGUAUGUUUCCGCUCAUAAAGCAACGCAUCUUUCAUUUUUGCCCCAGAAAUGUGUUUAAAUGUUUUGUGCAUUAAAAUAAAUGCUAAUGAAUUGUGUGAA